rnacentral:lncRNA from 1 species
CAAAAUUUCAAUACAUUAGACAAGAAGAUCUGUGUGUAAAGGGAAUUUAUAGAUAUAUAGCAAAAAAUAUAAAUUUAUUAAUAACUCCAAAGUAAUUGUUAAUAAUCUGGAAAUUAAUCUGGGUUAUGUCCACAGUUCCACAGAUAUUUAAAAUUAUGAUUAAUCAAUUAAGAGAAGCCUUGAACUAAAAAUCCCAUCUUUCUUAUAUGAUAUUUGUUAGUAAUUAUAGCAAAGAAAAACUGGUGCUUAGUGGUAAUAAUUAUAACAACAACAUCACUAAUAUUACAAAAGUAAAAAUUAUAGUUAUAUUUAUGUAGUGUAUGUUAUGUGCUUGGUGCUUUUCUGAGCAAUAUACAGGUCAUUAACUUAUUUAAUUUUCCCAACAACACUAUGGUAAGUGUUU